GUUGGAAAAUGAAAAGAUCCGUGCAGCAAUGGUGUCAAAGUUGUGCAGAAUUGAAGGAAGAAACCUAAAAGACAGUGCCAGAAAGAUGCUGGACAGGAUUAAAAAAAAAAUUCCCUUAUGUUCAAAUUCA